UCGGUUCGAACCCGUGCGAAUGCUAUGAAAAAAAAAAACCGAAAUAUCUUCUUUCUUUCUCUUUCCUCGAAAUCUCCUCCUCUCUCACCUCCUUCAUUCUUCUUCAUCUUCUAUGAGGGCUGCGAUUUUGAGCAGCCGCGACUUUCCCAGUCACCGUCAUCCUCACCGGAGCCGCUUCGAGGUUCUCAUGACCCACUGUCACCCUCACACUUCACCUGCUCUCCACAGCUCCACCACUAUCGUCACUCUUCGCCGUCGCAUUCUUCUCCGCUCCUCCAAAUCUUUCCUUUAUCAAUGUUUUCUGCAUAGAUCUGGUCUAAGUAAUCUCUCUUUCUUUAUUUUAAAGAUUCAAUUUGAAUUGAACAAGUUUGAAAUUCUAGGGUUAAUUUGACGAAGACAAUUGUGUUAUUUAUAGUUAUUACAUUUUAAUGUUGGUUAUUGUUCAUAACAAUCGUGCUAUCUAAGUACGGAGUAGGCAAUUUGUAGCAUUUUCCUCCGUUCUUUCUCAAAUACCAACUUCGCUUUUCAAUCUAAAUGGCGAAAUUACUCCCUCGAAGAAGCUAUUUCGUUUGUUGGGCGAAAUGGGACUGUCAUCGUAUGUAUAGUUAGUGAACCUUACUUUGAUUUUUUGAACAAUUGGUUGAUCAGUGUACAUCAAGAUAAAAUUUUGGUGAUUGCUGAAGAUUAAAACUCUUCGUAUCGGGUUAAUCAAAGGUGGUCUGGUCAUGCUGUGCUAAUUGCUGCAGUUCUUGAAUCGAAUUCUGCCCAUGAAUUUGGUUCCUUGAUUGCUUUGGACAGAUUUCUGCCUCAUGUUUAACAGCAUUUUAAUGCUGGUAAACUACUUGCAGUCCUGCGGGAGAGUACAAUCUCCAAUUAGGAAUCAUACAAAGAAUUGGAUCCCAACAUGGUUGCUACUUACUCUGUCAGCUUUGUAUCUACUUUGGAGAUCUAUGAAUUUUUUUCUCUUCUUACAUCCUGUUGCAAUAAUGUGUGUAUCAGGACAAACUACACUCAAUUAUUAUUUUGCUACAAUAUUUUAUAUGAACUUUUGCUGUGAAAUUAUAUUAUUGUUGUUAUGCUGUAAGUCUUUUUGUGCAGCGCUCAAGUAUUCAAAGACCACCCUUUUCUUUUGAGAUGAAGGCUAAUAUGGAGGGUUACUGUAAGGAUGAGAUCAAGAUGCAUCUGGCUGUUGUUCCCUCUUCUCGGCAUAUUGAGACAAUUGAGAAGGUAUCUCAGUUCAUGGGUCCAUUGUCGCAUUCACAGUUCUUCACAGAGUGGUUGGUUACUUGGAAGAAAAGGCAAUUCAUUCAUACAUAGAGUAUCUGAAGGACAUAGACAGUGGUGUGAUUGAAAAUGUGUGCGCUCCUGCUACUGCCAUUGACUACUUGAGGCUGCCAAAGAAUGCUAAUUUGAAGGAUGUUAUAACUGUGAUCCGUGGUGACGAAGGUCACCAUUGUGAUGUCAACCAUUUUGCUUCUGAUUUGCACUUUCAGGGCAGGCAACUGAAAGAAGCACCAGCUCCUGUUGGUUAUCAUUAGAGCAGUACAUAAGUCUGCAUAUUGCCACGUAUAUGUUGCCUGUUUUGUUUCAUAAUCUAUUGGCAUGAAUUUAUAAAACUUCCACGGUUUGUGUGAUUAUUUCCUUCCUUCCUUUUCUAGUCUUUAUGGAGCUUAAACAUUGGUCCAA